rfam:Gossypium arboreum cultivar AKA8401 contig_13139_5, whole genome shotgun sequence.
UAUUAAAAAUUUUAUCUAUUUAUAUUGUUAAAAAUUAUCAUGGUUGAUAGAAUAAUCAAAAAGAGACACGUGGCAUGCCACAUAUACUUCAUGUUAACAUAUAAAGACUAAUUUUUAACAACAAUAAUGGAUAAAAUUUUUCAUA